CAAGGCCCAGAGCUUUUUGGAGAGUGUCAGUGUGGCGUGAACACGACGGGAGACAGCACAUCAAAGCUUCAGGCUGACACAGCACUGAUAGCCACCGAUCUCUCUGUUAACUCAGAAUCACCAGCCUAAGGCAGAAGCGCGUUUAGCUUCUUGAAGGAUCGUCCUGGCUCAGUGCGGAUACCACUUUGGAUAAAGAGACUGAUGACCAGAACUGGCUCUGGAAGGCUGCUUCUCCCCACUUUCUGGACACUGGCAGUGCUUGGCGUGUGAAGAACUUUUCACUAAAGCUUGCAGUGGUGAAGGGACACUCCUGCUGAGACCGCCUUCCGUGAAGCUUCUUGGUAACAUGACAGAAGUGACCAGAUGACAUGGUGGACCCUCAGAUCUGAGGCUAGCAAUGGUACAUGCACUUGGUCAUUAUAGGUCUCUCCCUCAAAGGCUUCAGGGUGCUCCAUGAAAGGUAAGAGCUUUGAAAGCUAAUG
rnacentral:lncRNA from 1 species